rnacentral:rRNA from 1 species
UACAGAGGUCCCGAGCGUUGUUCGGAUUCACUGGGCGUAAAGGGUGCGUAGGUGGUGGGGUAAGUCGGAUGUGAAAGUCGGGGGCUCAACCCUCGGAUGCCGGUGGAUACUGUCGGGCUUGAGUACGGAAGAGGCGAGUGGAAUUCCUGGUGUAGCGGUGAAAUGCGCAGAUAUCAGGAGGAACACCAAUUGCGAAGGCAGCUCGCUGGGACGUUACUGACGCUGAGACGCGAAGGCCAGGGGAGCAAACGGG